rnacentral:rRNA from 1 species
AACGAACGCUGGCGGCAUGCCUAACACAUGCAAGUCGAACGAGACCUUCGGGUCUAGUGGCGCUCGGGUGCGUAACGCGUGGGAACCUGCCUUUAGGUUCGGAAUAACUCAGAGAAAUUUGAGCUAAUACCGGAUGGUGUCUUCGGACCAAAGAUUUAUCGCCGUUAGAUGGGCCCGCGUUGGAUUAGCUGGUUGGUGGGGUAAAGGCCUACCAAGGCGACGAUCCAUAGCUGGUCUGAGAGGAUGAUCAGCCACACUGGGACUGAGACACGGCCCAGACUCCUACGGGAGGCAGCAGUGGGGAAUAUUGGACAAUGGGCGAAAGCCUGAUCCAGCAAUGCCGCGUGAGUGAUGAAGGCCUUAGGGUUGUAAAGCUCUUUUACCCGAGAUGAUAAUGACAGUAUCGGGAGAAUAAGCUCCGGCUAACUCCGUG